rnacentral:rRNA from 1 species
CAGCAAGAUAGAGUUUGAUCCUGGCUCAGAAUGAACGCUGGCGGCGUGCUUUACACAUGCAAGUCGAGCGAGGCGUGGGGGCAACUCCACAGUCGAGCGGCGAACGGGUGAGUAACACGUGGAUAACCUGCCCAGAAGUGGGGGACAACCCGGGGAAACUCGGGCUAACACCGCAUAACACCGAGAGGUCAAAGGGGCCCGCAAGGGUCUCGCUACUGGAGGGGUCCGCGUCCGAUUAGCUAGUUGGUAGGGUAAUGGCCUACCAAGGCGACGAUCGGUAGCCGGCCUGAGAGGGUGAUCGGCCACACUGGAACUGAGACACGGUCCAGACUCCUACGGGAGGCAGCAGUGGGGAAUUUUGCGCAAUGGGCUAACGCCUGACGCAGCAACGCCGCGUGGAGGAUGAAGGUCUUUGGAUUGUAAACUCCUGUCAGCAGGGAAAAAGCGACUCGGACUCAUACUCCGGGGAGUUGAUUGUACCUGCAGAGGAAGCCCCGGCUAACUCUGUGCCAGCAGCCGCGGUAAUACAGAGGGGGCAAGCGUUAUUCGGAAUUAUUGGGCGUAAAGGGCGCGUAGGCGGCCUGGCAAGUGGAAGGUGAAAUCCCUCGGCUUAACCGAGGAACUGCCUCCCAAACUGCUUGGCUUGAGACCAGGAGAGGUGAGUGGAAUUCCCAGUGUAGCGGUGAAAUGCGUAGAUAUUGGGAGGAACACCAGUGGCGAAGGCGGCUCACUGGACUGGUACUGACGCUGAGGCGCGACAGCGU